UGGUGAUGAUGUCUAAACUCACGAUGGUCUGCAGAGUCCCCCUCUCGGGGCUGCUGAGAACGCCAGAAUGGCAAUGGCUGAACCACAGAG
rnacentral:snoRNA from 1 species